AUUGAACGCUGGCGGCAGGCCUAACACAUGCAAGUCGAGCGGAUGAAGGGAGCUUUCUCCUGGAUUCAGCGGCGGACGGGUGGGUAAUGCCUAGGAAUCUGCCUUGUAUAUGAGGAUAACGUCCGUAAACGGGCGCUAAUACCGCAUACGUCCUUAUGGUGAAAUUUGUGGAUCUUCGGACCUAACCCUAUCAGAUGAGCCUAGGUCGGAGUAGCUAGUUGGUGGGGUAAAGGCCUACCAAGGCGACGAUCCGUAACUGGUCUGAGAGGAUGAUCAGUCACACUGGAACUGAGACACGGUCCAGACUCCUACGGGAGGCAGCAGUGGGGAAUAUUGGACAAUGGGCGAAAGCCUGAUCCAGCCAUGCCGCGUGUGUGAAGAAGGUCUUCGGAUUGUAAAGCACUUUAAGUUGGGAGGAAGGGCAGUAAGUUAAUACCUUGCUGUUUUGACGUUACCAACAGAAUAAGCACCGGCUAACUUCGUG
rnacentral:rRNA from 1 species